UACGUAGGGGGCAAGCGUUGUCCGGAUUUAUUGGGCGUAAAGAGCGUGUAGGCGGCCAGGUAGGUCUGCUGUGAAAACUCGAGGCUUAACCUCGAGCUGUCGGCGGAAACCAUCUGGCUAGAGUCCGGAAGAGGAGAAUGGAAUUCCCGGCGUAGCGGUGAAAUGCGCAGAUAUCGGGAAGAACACCCGUGGCGAAGGCGGUUCUCUGGGACGGUACUGACGCUGAGACGCGAAAGCGUGGGGAGCGAACAGG
rnacentral:rRNA from 1 species